GUGCAUGCUUAGGCAGCACAUAUACUAAAAUUGAAUGAUACAGAGAAGAUUAGCAUGUCCCCUGUGCAAGGAUGACAUGCAACUUCCUGAAAUGUUCCACAUAAAU
rnacentral:snRNA from 2 species